rnacentral:lncRNA from 1 species
UUUCAAAAUAUCAGUUAUAUCAAUAUUAGAAGUGUAAACAGGUACAAAAUAUACAGUACAUAGAAACAAUUUUCUUAACUAGUCUAUCGCCUAAUAAAAGUAUGCAUGAGGGGGCUGAAUGAAUGGGCACUGCCAGGUCCCUCAGUCUGCAGGGGAAACAGUUUGCACCUCUAAAAAGAAAUCCCUGUCCUGCUGUUUCCCAAGGUCACAGUAAUGAUCAAAUGAGAUGCAUUUUGAAAAUAAGAAACUACCACACAAAGUGAACAGGAGACAGAAGCAUCUCACGGAGUGGGAGGCAAGGCCAGGGAGUCACACACUAGGGGACACCACCAAGUGCCCUUGGGACGGGUACCACAGAUGGCCCAAAAUAGAGAAAAGUUGGGGCCAGCACUUUUGGGGGGCCUUUUCAGGAGAGGCAAGCUGGGAAAUGCAACCGCUACUCCCGGAGGGAUCCUUCCUGCUGCGCUGAGGUGUGCUCCAAGGGACCCAAUGGCCCUCACUGUAUCUACAAAAUUUAAAUGGCCCUAUUACUAUUUUCCAGCUUUUUCCUCAAGAAUUAAAAAAAAACAAAAAACAAAAAACAAAACAGGUUUGCAAUUAAAUUACUUAAAAUUCUACGGCGCUCCCAUCCCCGUCCCGCGUCUGCCUGAAGCUUCCACGCCGCCCUGCUGCCUGCACACGGGGCUUUUUACACGUGCGGCCGGCAGGGUCUAUGGGGCUGGAGGCGCUCACAUGUCCCCGCCAUCGGUGGGUCCCAGGACGCUGAGGCCACAAGUCCAGUCGGUCACAAGGUCUGUGGAGGCCAAAGGUCCUUUGGAGGCGGGGCUCUUGAAGGGAUCAGGAGGUGCGGGCGGCGUCGGGAGUGGCUGGCCUCGGGCCGGGGUCUUGGCGCCCGCUGCAUGGUUGCGCUUGGCCUGGUCCAAACAGGGUCCCGUGAGCCUCUAGGUCAGUAGGAUGUACGGGUGUGGCCACCACCUCCUCUUCCUGGACUUCUGUUUUUAUUACAAUUUUUACAUCUGCUGAGAAAGACAGAAAGACAGAUACUGACCUGUCCCUUAACUGCUGAGCGAGCCACAAUCUGCCACCAUCACCUGCUCAGCAGCUGUGUGGCCAGACAAACUAGGCCCCAGCAUGGGCAAAUGCAGAUCUGCCUCAGAGGGGCACCCACACAAUGCAGUCCACAGGGGGCUCCUAAGGGAAAACUAAAACCAGAAGAAUCAACAUUCUAGAAAUGACAGAGGCAGCUGUGGAAAUGAAAAACUCAAAUGGAUGGCUCUGUUUUAUGAGGCUAAGACAAUUUUUAUUGCACAAACUAGAGGGGUAGUAUAUGAACAAAUUUAAAAAAUAAUCUCAUAUAUGAACAGAUAUGCAAAGAUUCUAAAUGAAAGAAUUACAAAUCAAACUCAGCAAUUGCUGAGUAGGCUGGGUACAGUGGCUCA